ensembl:snoRNA Gm23716 small nucleolar RNA SNORA48
CCCCCCUGGCAAUGGGCAAAGAAAUAUCUUGUUUGUGGUGCUGUUCUUAUGUCAGUCAGGGUCAGAGCAGAUGGCAGUUCUUUGUUCAUCUUAACUUGAUGCCUGGCUUGGUGACCAAAACUGACUUCUACCUAGGACUCAUAA